AUGGCUUCUAGUUGCUUUGGUCUCUCAUCUCAUCCUAGCAGCCCUUCUACCAUCAAAGAAAGAAGAUUUCUUCCCCUUUGGCUCCAUCCUAUAAACAGUCUCAAGAAUGACUUACACUGGAUCAGCAGAGGUUGCAUACUCCUUCCCCAACCAGACACCAAGCCAGGAAGAUGGGGGCAGAACCCUGUUGGCUGUUUCUGUGACCUUCCUUUGGAGCUGUAUUUCCCAGCGCUUCCUUGUGAUUACUGUCGCUGUGUGACUGAAUUCCAGUCAGAGGAAAGUGAGCAAGGAUGACAUGCUUCACUUUCUGGCACGGCCCGUCAAGCCUCUCACACAUGGUGCUGUAUCUUCUUUCCCUUUCAUUCAGCUUUAGGAAGGUGAGCAUGGUGAGUUUGGGUGCCAUGUUUUGAAGUGUUGGAGUCACAAAAUGGAAGAAGGCUUGAUCCCUCCAUGUUUCUGGGAGAAUAGUCAGGAACCAAUCAGGACCAACUUUGGUAGACUUUAAGUGAACAAGAGACAAACUUAUACCAGUUUUAUACCAAUAUAUUUGCUGGGGUUGUUUGUUGUCACAUCUAGAGUUAUCUUAACCAAUAUAUGUGUGCAUUGAAUAGAUUAUCCCUGCGAUGUAUGUCUGGCUUUUGCAUGUACUUUUCCUUAGAAUUCUUGCCUUCCAAUUAUUCACAUCCUAAAAAUGGAUGGUCUAAACCAAGUCCAUUCACCUCCAAGCAUCUCUCUUCCACACCCAUUAACCACAAUGAUAAUCUCUUUCCCUCAAUUCCUAUAGCACUUUGUUUUCUGUGCCUUUCAUGUGCCCUUGUCAUAGCUUCAAUUUUGGAUGUCUCGUUUCCCCAGGGAGGUUUGUAAGCUCUUUAAGGUCAAGGAUCAGGUUUUUAUGCUUCUUAUAUAUCUCUGAAGUAUGUAAUACAGCAUUGUGUCCUGGGAAUUUUCAAUAAAUAUUUUUGGGGAAAAUGAAUUUAUAAAUGUAUUAGGCUCAAUAAAGUCUGUUUUCCUAAAAACAGUCCUUCAUUACUCAAGCAGGAAGGUAUGUAAACUAUAAUUUACUGGAGUUGGUGUUCUUAUUAUUCU
rnacentral:lncRNA from 1 species